rnacentral:rRNA from 1 species
UACGUAGGGGGCAAGCGUUGUCCGGAUUUAUUGGGCGUAAAGGGCUUGUAGGUGGCCACGCCAAGUCGGAUGUGAAAUCUCCCGGCUCAACUGGGAGGGGUCAUUCGAUACUGGGAGUCUCGAGUCCGGGAGAGGUGAGUGGAACUGCGAGUGUAGAGGUGAAAUUCGUAGAUAUUCGCAAGAACACCAGUGGCGAAGGCGGCUCACUGGCCCGGUACUGACGCUGAGGUGCGAAAGCGUGGGGAGCAAACAGG